AGGGGCGUAGCUCUAACGGGCAGAGCGCCGGUCUCCAAAACCGGAUGUUGGGGGUUCGAAUCCCUCCGCCCCUGCCA
rnacentral:tRNA from 1 species